GACGAACGCUGGCGGCGGGCCUAAUACAUGCAAGUAGAACGCAGUUGCGAACGGGGGAGUAACGCGUAGGGAACUGCCUCAAAGCGGGGGAUAACUAUUGGAAACGAUAGCUAAAACCGGAAAGAGGGAGAUGGACGUGCGUUGUAUUAGCUAGUUGGUGAGGUAAAGGCUCACCAAGGCGACGAUACAUAGCCGACCUGAGAGGGUGAUCGGCCACACUGGGACUGAGACACGGCCCAGACUCCUACGGGAGGCAGCAGUAGGGAAUCUUCGGCAAUGGACGGAAGUCUGACCGAGCCACGCCGCGUGAGUGAAGAAGGUUUUCGGAUCGUAAAGCUCUGUUGUUAGAGAGGCGGUAUCUAACCAGAAAGCCACGGCUAACUACGUGCCAGCAGCCGCGGUAAUUC
rnacentral:rRNA from 1 species